GAGAGUCAGAGGCCACUCGAUUGCGAUAAUCAAACCACCUCCGUCGUCGCUUACGCUCCACUUUAACGUUGAAAGAGACAAAAUCCAUGCCGACAUCCCCCCACCCCCACCAGAUCUUUCCUGCGAUAAUUUAAACCAGAAAAGAGCUCUCUUUCUCUCUCUCUCUUGCCUCGCCCACUUGUAUCGGAAUCACCGCCCGGGGUGAUAGCAUGCGUGGCCGUUCUCUCUCGGUCCGCAUCCGUUUUGCUAAUCCUGGAGUGCCCUUUUGCGGUUCUCCUCUUUGGGAUCUUGUUCCUGUGAAUGAAGUGCAACCAAAGGAACUCUCUCUCUCUCUCUCUCUCUCUCGCGGGCACGCACCCGUUUUGUCCGAAUCACUGCCGGGGCGAUCGGGUCUCUGGCCGUUCUCUCUCGAUUUGCAUUCGUUUGGCCAAUCCUUGAAUACCCUUUUGCGGUUCUCCUCUUUGGGUUCUUGUUCCAGUGAAUGAAAGGCAACCAAAAGAGCUCUCUCUUUCUCUCUCUCUCGCACGCGCACACCCGUUUUGUCUGAAUCACUGCCCGGGCGAUUGUGUCUCUGGCCGUUCUCUCUCGAUUUGCAUUCGUUUGGCCAAUCCUUGAAUACCCUUUUGCGUUUCUCCUCUUUGGGUUCUUGUUCCAGCGAAUGAAGUGCAACCAAAAGAGCUCUCUUUCUCUCUCGCACACUGCUCGGGGUGAUCGCGUCUCUGGCCGUUCUCUCUCGAUUCGUUCGUUGCGCCAAUCCUUGAAUACCCUUUUCGUUUCUUCUCGUUGGGUUCUUGUUCCAGUGAAUGAAGUGCCACCCAUCUUGAAUACAGAGUCGAGUCCUCUGUUGGGUAGCCGUGUCUGGGAAGAUGGGGUCGCUGAAAGAGCGGCUGAUCUCGACCAGGGGCUACUCGGAGCUGGGUCUCUCCUACAUAGGGACGACCAACGACCGGAGCGGCUCCUGCUGCUCGUACCGCCGCGCCCGCGAGGCGGUCGCGAGGUGGUGGAAGAACUUGGAGCGGGUGGCCUCCAAGGCGUAUAACAUGGGCAAGUCCGAUCCGAGGAAGAUCGUGUUCUCGGCGAAGAUGGGGCUGGCUCUGACGCUCGUCUCGCUGUUGAUAUUCUGGAAAGCGCCCUUCAACUUCAAGGAUACGAGCCGAUACUCUGUUUGGGCGCUUCUCACGGUCAUCACCGUGUUCGAGUUCAGCAUAGGUGCUACUCUUAGCAAGGGAUUAAACCGGGGAAUAGGGACAUUAUCUGCAGGAGGGCUUGCUCUAGGCAUGGCAGAGUUGUCUCAGAUGGCUGGAGAUUGGGAAGAACUUGUUAUUAUCCUCAGUAUAUUCUUUAUAGGAUCUAUUGCAACUUAUGCAAAACUGUACCCAACAAUGAAGCCUUACGAAUACGGGUUUAGAGUUUUCUUGCUGACAUAUUCUCUUGUAAUGGUAUCCGGAUAUAGGACAAGGGAAUUUAUCCAUACAGCUGUUUCCCGCUUCUUCCUCAUUGCACUAGGUGCUGGUGUUGGCCUGGCAGUAAAUGUUUGCAUUUUUCCCAUCUGGGCUGGCGAGGACUUGCAUAAGUUAGUGGUUAAGAACUUCAUGGGGGUUGCAACAUCUUUGGAAGGUUGUGUUAAUGGGUACCUCAAUUGUAUUGAAUAUGAAAGGGUUCCCUCGAAAAUUCUUACUUAUCAGGCCUCUGAUGAUCCACUCUAUAAUGGUUAUAGAGCAGCUGUAGAAUCCACCAGCAAAGAAGAUGCUCUGUUGGGUUUUGCCAUCUGGGAGCCACCUCAUGGUCCAUACAGAGCAUUUAGGUAUCCCUGGAAGAACUAUGUUAAAGUAAGCGGUGCACUGAGGCAUUGUGCAUUCAUGGUCAUGGCGUUGCAUGGAUGCAUACUUGCUGAAAUCCAGGCGCCAGCUGAGAAAAGAGAGGUCUUUCGCAAUGAGCUGCAGCGGGUGGGUACCGCAGGUGCUAAGGUACUACGCGAACUUGGGAAUAAGGUAAAGAAGAUGGAAAAAUUAGGGCCUGUAGAAAUACUCUCUGAAGUGCACGAGGCUGCAGAAGAGUUGCAGAACAAAGUUGACCGGAGGUCGUACCUUUUAGUCAACUCAGAGAACUGGGAAAUUGGAAACCGAGCAAAAGACUGGGCAGAGCCUCAAGAUCUUCUUAACUUUGAUGAUGACGAGAAUAAGGUUUUACAGCAUAAGUCACAUAGUGAAACUGUACUAGAUCUCAGGCUGUUUUCUGCAACAAGAAGUCUGGACUCCGCGAAGCCAAACACGGGGUUGAAAGCCCCAGUUCCGGUAGUUAUUCCCGCAGAUGGUGCGAUGAUGAAACAGAUAUCAUGGCCUGCCGGAAUCUCGCUGAGAACUGAUUCUGUUGUUGAAGAAUCAAAAACAUAUGAAAGCGCAAGUGCUUUGUCUCUAGCAACUUUCACGUCGCUCCUCAUUGAGUUUGUUGCAAGGUUACAAUAUCUUGUGGAAGCUUUUGAAGAAUUAAGUGAAAAGGCAAAUUUCAAGGAACCGGUUGAGCCAUCCGCAGUAGCAGAGCCUGUAGGGAUAUUUGGCAGAUUGCGGAGAUGUAUCAAGUGUUGAUAAUUGGAUGUUGCUCAUAACACAGAAGGAUGAACCUCUGAAUUGCUUCCAGAGCCAAAAUGGAGAUACAAAUCUGUUAACUGCGAGAUCAAGCAUGGGUAUUGUUUUACAUUCGAGGCGCCCUGAGAAGGAUACAUCAUAAUAGAACAUUUGAGUCGUGGAUAGGCUUAUUGGAACUAAAGCAGAAUACAGAAAAGAAAACAGAAGCUAGGCAAUUUUCCUGUAGAAGUAGUAUUACCGACAGGUCGAAAGGCGGCCUUUUCGGGGGAUCUAAACAAGCAGGCGAUAGGUCGGCACUGCAAACAAGUGAUUAGCUCUUGGAACUGAUAAGCCAAACCUUUCGCUCAUGUCGAUAUCGCUCGGCACCAUGCCCUUGGGUAGUUCCCACUUGAAGCAAUGCGCUAAUUGAGCCAGAACAAACUUCACUUGUAUCAGGCCUAACUGAAUUCCAGGGCACCCCCUACGUCCUGAACCGAAAGGAAGCAGCUCGAAAUGAUGCCCUUUCACGUCUAUACCAUUGUCGGCGAAUCUCUCGGGUACAAACUCUUCGGCGUUUUCCGACCACACACUUGGAUCUCGCCCGAUUGCCCAUAUGUUCACGAUGAUUUGCGAUUUCUUUGGUAUGAAGCGUUCGUUUAUGAUGGCAUCCUCCAUGGAUUCUCGGGGAACUAGUAAUGGUAUAACUGGAUGGAGUCUCAUGCUCUCCUUCGCCACCAUGUCCAGGUAAUUUAGCUUCGAUAGAUCUGACUCCUCAACCAUUCUAGUCAAGCCAACAACGGUUUCCAGCUCUUCUUGAAGGCGUGCCAUUGCCUGCGGAUUCCUCAUGAGUUCAGAAAAUGCCCAGUCGAUGGAGGUUGAUGAUGUCUCGAAGGAACCCGAAAUCAUGUCCAGUAUUAUGGCUUUUAUAUUUGUUCGAUCGAUGAUAUACUUUUCUUCACGAGGGUCUAUGGGUUGGUUCAUCAUCGAAAGCAAUAUGUCGAUGAAGUCCUCCUGAUGUUCGCUGUCAUAAUAAGCGGCAUCUCGCACAUGGUCAUCAAUAAUCUUCUCUAAGAGUUUGUCGACUGACCUUCUGACUGCCUUGAACCGCCGUGUCGACCCCUAAGAACAACAAACUUCAUUAGUACCUCGCUCAAGCUUGCCACAGAAGAUAGACCAGAAAGUCGAUGGAUCACUAGUAGCAGAGCAUGAGUGUUCCAUCAUUGAUCAUGUAAGAUUUUGUAUGAUCACUGUCGACUGUUCUAAAAGCUCAAGCUGUUAGACGAAUAUGUAGUUUAAUAUUUAAUUAUUACAACUUUUUCCCUCGGGCUUAAUUUGA